AAAAUUUAGUUAAUAGUAAUAACAUUAACUUGUCAAGUUAAAAUAAUGUAAAUCAUAAUUUUUU
rnacentral:tRNA from 1 species